ensembl:rRNA 5S_rRNA 5S ribosomal RNA
GUCUACGGCCAUGCCACCCUGAACAUGCCCGAUCUCGUCUGAUCUUGGAAGCUAAGCAGGGUUGGGCCUGGUUAGUACUUCAGUGGGAGAAAUAACUUGUGUUACAGAUA